rnacentral:rRNA from 1 species
GACGAACGCUGGCGGCGUGCUUAACUCAUGCAAGUCGAACGGAAAGGCCCUGCUUUUGUGGGGUGCUCGAGUGGCGGACGGGUGAGUAACACGUGAGUAACCUGCCCUUGACUUUGGGAUAACUUCAGGAAACUGGGGCUAAUACCGGAUAGGAGCUCCUGCUGCAUGGUGGGGGUUGGAAAGUUUCGGCGGUUGGGGAUGGACUCGCGGCUUAUCAGCUUGUUGGUGGGGUAGUGGCUUACCAAGGCUUUGACGGGUAGCCGGUCUGAGAGGGUGACCGGCCACAUUGGGACUGAGAUACGGCCCAGACUCCUACGGGAGGCAGCAGUGGGGAAUAUUGCACAAUGGGCGGAAGCCUGAUGCAGCAACGCCGCGUGCGGGAUGACGGCCUUCGGGUUGUAAACCGCUUUCGCCUGUGACGAAGCGUGAGUGACGGUAAUGGGUAAAGAAGCACCGGCUAACUACGUG